CGGCGCACAGGGCCCCGGUCGACAUGGGUGCGGUGUUAUGGUAGUUGGCGGGGCCGGGGAAGGGAACGACCCGACCUUGGGCAAUGUUGGCCGCUGUGGGCCAGUGGGGCCGGAGGGCAGGGUCCAUAUAUAGGGUGGGGACGGGGGAGGCGAGGGGGAGUGAGGAGGGGAGACAGAGGAAGGAGGUGUGGGGUAGGGUAGGGUGAUGGUGGUUCCCUCAACUAAUAGUCUAGCCAUUGGAGUGAGCGAUGAGCAUCGCCAAUGGUGUGUAGCUAGCUGGCUCCUAGAUGGCCGCCGGUACCGCCGCACGUCUCGUCCUCCUCCGCCCCCGCCGUCCCUGCACCUGGCCUAGUUCCCGGGCACCUCGGGGCUCCUCCUGCUGCGCGACGUCGCCGACCACCCCGCGGUGCCGCGCGCGUUGACCAGGGAGUAGUCGUUCAGGUAGGGCCCCGCCAGGCCGUUCAGGACGGCGGAGGCGACCACGUUGGUCGAGAGCGGCGUCCACCUCGUGGCGGGGAAGUGGGGGCUGCUCCUGCUGUGGUAGGAGGCGCGGGUGCGGUCCAAGCCGUUGUUCACCCGGUGGUAGCGGGCGGAGGAGAGGCCGGCGUGGCUGUUGCGGUAGUUCUUGGUGACCUUGAGGUGCGAGUUCGCGUUCAUGAGGAGGAGGAGGAGCUGUAGCCGGAGCCGUAGUCGUAGCGGCCGACUGCUGCGGUACCGUUUGCUGCUGCUGCUGGCGGCCGGCGACUUCGCCUGGUCGUCGCUGCCCAUGGGCCCCGAGACGAAGUCGGGGCCCUCGGGCAGCCCCAGACUGGAGUCGCUGAGGUCGGUGGUCUCGGAGGGGAGGCAGUACGGCAGGCGGCGGAGCGUCGUCGGUGUGCACAUGGCGGGCCACCGCGCCCGGCCGCCCCACCAGCACGAGGGCUGCCGGUGCGGAGUCGACGGCGUCGGCAGGGGAGGCAGAGGCGGCGGCGGGGGAGGAGGAGGCCGCUGCAGCGAGAGCGAGAGGGACAGGGACGGACCGAACCUACGCGGGCUCGGUCGGGGCCACCGCGUCCGCGUCGGGUACAGGUACGGUGGUGGAGGACGAGUACACGGACAUGUCGGGCGGCGUCGCGGAGUCUACGGCGGCGGGUACGGCAAGGUCGAGGUCGGCGGCGGCCAGGGUGUUCGUGCCCGCCGCCGCGGGAAGUUGCCCCUCAAGGACAGCUACUACGUCCUCUACUAGGCCUAGCUCCAGGCCUUGAUGUACAGGCCGAAGCUGGGGGCCAGUAGCGGCCGGCUGCCGCAGGUGCGGCGGUUCGCGUACUACUCGUACCGGUUCUAGCUCAUCGUUCGUUCGUUCGUUCUUCGUCCUUCUACUCAGACAGACGAGGUGAGUUUCUCGGUUACUUAAUUAGUUCCCUGCGGUUCUUUGUUUGCCUUCCGUCUCCGCCGUUCACUUUACUUCUCCUCUACUUCGCUUCGAGCCGCCGGGCAAAUCUAGAAGAACGGGCUGUUAUUAAGGGAUCAUUUUACAGAGCUAAUCAAAAAAAGAAGGGAAGGAAGGAGUUUCAAGGAAGCUUCUAGCAGGCUAGCUAAGUACAAAGGCAAGAAGUCUCUGCUCUGCUCUGCUUCUUUUGGAGCAGCGAUCGCACCGUUUAUUUGAUCCGUCCCGUCCCGUCUCGUAUCGUUUGUACAACGAACGACCUAGCGAGGUCUCAAGAAAAAACAUAUCUCUUUCCCUUUUCUUCUUUACUUUGCUCUACCCCCUUUACUCUCCGGCUCAAGCACCUAGCUAGUGUAGACGACGAAGUUAAAAUGAUCAUUGAUGAGAUGUAUCAGCAAAGCAAAAACCACGAUCAUCAUCCACGUGUAAAGACAAAACGCAACCGACAAAACACCAACCUCACGGACCAAACCCCUCGUCUCCCUCUUCCCGCUUUGCCUUAAUACCACCCUCCCUAGCUAGCCGUCACCUCUUACCCGCUCGCUGUCGAUUGACGGACGGACAACGCGUGGAGGAGAGAGAGAGGAGGAAAGUUCAAAUAAAUGACUCCUCCUAACUAUAAUAAAC
rnacentral:rRNA from 1 species